AUAAACUCGAGAGGAUGCUCUCCCUUCCCUCCGUGUCCCGUUGCUCAGCUCCCUCCUCCUUCCUCUCUCAAAAGCCAAGAGCUUUAAGAUUCCUCACUGUUCAACCUUGUUCCAAAAGAUACUCUUGUUCGAACCAGAAUCAACGACUUCUGUGUAAGGCUCGAGGAGACAGUAGAUUCCAAGUCAGGAAAGUUAAGACUUGAUUCUUGUUUCUUGUCGCAUUUCUGGCAUCAGUAGAGCUCGCGUUCAGUCUAUUAUUAAAUCAGGAAUUGUCUCUGUCAAUGGAAAGAUUACCUAUAAGGUUGUUCAUCCUGCGCCUGGUAAUGCUACCGGCACGCUGGUGAAUGGGAUACUACACCAACAGUUUCAAACCAGGAAGUUUUGUCGGAUGCAGAGGAUAUUUCUGACGACGGUGAUGGUGUAGGGUUAUGUUCUGGCUCAUACGUAGCAUCUGUUCGACCAGGGAUAGUGCAUUGGUUGGAUAAAGGCACCAGUGGAUUGCUUGUUGUUGCUAAGUGCAGUAUAUAUUGAUGGUGGGAUGAACAUUCGCAUGCUCAUUUAUCUGAGCAAUUCAAGAGUACAAUGAAAGUCCUCUAUUAAGUGACGAGGUUUAUGGAGGGACUUGAAACAUGGCCUUGUCACUGCUUCGAUCCAGAACCGACCCUAGCUGUCAUAUCCAACUUUCUUUAUCACUUUCAGGACUAUAGAGGCCAUUCCUCCAUGGUUUGGCUCUCGGGUGGGGCAUUUAGAAGAUAAAGCUUUGUCCAUUUGCUUCACUGUUUUCCAUUGACACAACUGGAUAAUAUGGAAGUUUGCUUCUUUCCAUUGUUUUGUAGAUUCACACAUCUGUGCACGGGGAAAGAAAUACAUUUUUCAUGCCCGCCUCCUCCAGAUUUUACAGAUAUCUUGAACCACCUUUGUGAAAUGGGAACAGAGAAGGUAUUCUCUCUAAAGGGCAAUUCUGUGUUUUGGGGCAUCACUUUAUUACUGUUUGUGUUUCUUCGAAAGUUUGCAAGUUGAAUGUAAAACCUAAACUUUUGGAAGAUCAUCUAAUCUUGUCUGCUAUAUGAUCAACAAAAGAAAACAUAACAUAGGGUUGCUCAAGUAACACUCGGUCCCGGCACAUCAUGAAUUUUGCUUAAUCUGGCACGUGUCUUGUCAUUCUGUUAAAUUGUGGUAUAAAAUGGUGUUUUACAUUCUUUUCAUCUUGCUUCUUUAAUCUGAAGGGGUCACUUGAACAAAAUGAUCCAUCAUUUGAUCAUAACCUAGAUUUUCUGUGGCUUUAUUGUACAAGACUGAAGUUUCUGAUUGAUGUUGUUCAUGGUGUGAGCAAAUAAUUUUAGGAACUUGUCUGCUGAUUUUUAACCGUUUGAUGAGCAACCUUCAUUUAAGGAAUGACAGAAUUUCUCGAGCAGCAAUAAGAAAAGAUUGUUCUGCGAGCAAAGACGACAGUGUCAAAACAUGCGGAAGGGUGCAACACCAAAUGGACAAAUUCAUGGUGAGGGCAAGAUUCGGGCAUGUUAAUGAAGGUGCUGGCAAAAAGAUUCUACACGGUACAUUUAGGAUUCUGAGGUAGUUCCUCACCACAAGAGAUGGCACUGCCUCGUUCAGUUGAUAGUUCUCAGAAUAGUCUACGACCAUGGUAACUUGGAACGCCAUCCACGAACAGUUGAGAAUGAGAGAGAGAUUAAAUCGCUAGGAGAAUUUUUGCUUAAUCCCCUGUAUGUUUUGUUGUGAGAAUAUUAGAGGUGACGAAUUAGUUGAUUAAUUUAUGUAAAUAAAUAAAUAAAUAAAUGUAUGUUAGCCUCAGUUGGCAUAA